GACUCCGUGGCGUAAUUGGUAGCGCUUCAGAUUCCAAUCCUGAAGGUUGUCCGUUCGAGUCGGGCCGGGGUCG
rnacentral:tRNA from 1 species